GGCCACAUCAACAAGUUAAAGUUUUCCUCAGUGCCUCUGCAAAAAUGACUUUAACAAGUAAUAGACUUUGACACACACACACAAACUAAACAGUUCAUUCAGCAAAGAAAGAUUUAAAAUGUGUACAAAAUCC